CGGGGGCCUGAGGCAGCCGCGUGUCGCAAGAUGCGAGGAAAGUCCGGGCUCCACGAAACAAGGGUGGCGGGUAACGCCCGCCGGCGUCCCGCAAGGGGCGCAAGGGAAAGUGCCACAGAGAGUAUACCGCCGAUGGCGCCUAAAGCGCACAGGCAAGGGUGAAAGGGUGCGGUAAAAGCGCACCGGGGCGCUGGCAACAGGGUCCGCAUGGCAAACCCCACCCGGAGCAAGGCCGAAUAGGGGUCUCGCGCUGAAAGGCAGGCGUGUUUCGCGCCGAGAGACCCGGGUUGGCUGCUAGAGCCGUCGAGCAAUCGCCGGCCCAGAUGAAUGGCUGCCGCCGCGUGGCCGGUCCCUGCGGGGAUACCGCGCGCGGAGACAGAACCCGGCUUAUGACGGCCCCCUGAUG
rnacentral:RNase_P_RNA from 2 species